AUUAGACUGUAUCUCGGGUAUUCCCAGCCCUUCAUCCUACCAAUGAGAUGGCUGAGUCUUGAGAGGGGAGGAGAAUUUCCUAAGAUCUCUGCCCAGAGAUUGCCAUGAAUGAGGAGGCCCGGCCAGAUUACCUGGAUUCCAGCCUGCACUCAAAGAUCACUAGUGUGGCUCGGGCACGUGCAUCAGUCAAGCUCUAUCAUCCUGACUGAUGCCUUCUCUCUCAUGUCCUAGCAGAGGGGUGCUUGGAGUCAUGGUGCCAGCUGGAAGCCCCAGAAUGUGAAAUACAAAGAGUCAAAUAACUGUUUUAAUGAUAUAAGUAUAUAGCAACUGUAAUAUCUACAUAUUAAUACAUAGAUAUGGAGAUAUAAAGCAAUAGAAUAUAGAUUUAAAGGAAUAGAUGCAUAGAGGGAGUGUAUGCCCAGAGAAAAUUUCUAAAAAGGGGCACAAGAAAUGAUCAUUAUCUCUGAGGACUGCAGAGUUGGGAUGUCAGGAGUUUUUCAUCUUUUUCACAGCACCUCUUUCUUUUUACCAUUUGAAUUAUUUUUACCAUACAUGUGUAGUGCUGUAACAGUAAAAAGUUGUUUUUAAAGACCAGCUAUCUCAUUCAAAAAAUGAAUUCAAAGUAAAGGCCUAUGGAAAAGCAUUUCUGAUAUUAAUAACUUGAUUACACAAUCAGAAUCUUCUUCCAAGACUUCCAGCCUCCCUUUUGCAGAUGGAUCUCGGAAUUCAGGUUUCCUUCAUUAACAUCCCAGGUUGUCUCCAUGCUUUGAGGGUUUCAGUUCCAAAUUGGGUCUCUGAGAGGGAGAGGAAGCCAGAGAGACAUUCUGAGGACAAGAGAGAAAGAAGAGUCAUAAUCCUCUUAGAUAACUGGAGUGUGAUCCCAGAGGUGUCUAAAAGAACAGACAACUGGCCGGGUGCGGUGGCUCACACCUGUAAUCCCAGCACUUUCGAAGGCUGAGAUGGGUGGAUCGGGAAGUCAAGAGAUCAAGACCAUCCUGACCAACAUGGUGAAAUCCUGUCUCUACUAAAAAUACAAAACUUAGCUGGGUGUGGUGGUGCGCGCCUGUGUUCCCAGCUACUUAGGAGGCUGAGGCAGGAGAAUCACUUGAACCCGGGAGGCGGAGGUUGCAGUGAGCUGAGAUCGCACCACUGUACUCCAGCUUGGCUACAGAGCUAGACUCCCUCUCAAAAAAAAAAAAAAAAAAAAGAAGAAGAAGAAGAAGAAGAAGAAGAAGAAGAAGAACAGAGAACCACAAGAAUCAAGGACUCCUGGACCUGGGAAAGGCCCUUGCUUCAUGAAGGAGCCCAGGGCCGGUGCUGAGGUUCCCAGCCAAAGGGAAUGCAAACUCAUUCUGUAACUCAUUUUCUUUCCUGCUGGGACUAUUUCUGAUCACAGGCUAUGCGUGUGGGUACCAUUCAUGUUUCUUGAAGCUAUUUGGAGUAUUUUGGAGGCUAUAUCCAAAGGCCAUUUCUGGAGUUCUUAGCUAAAUGAUUAAAAUAAACAACAACAACAAACCUAAAAUCAACAACAUGACCUCUGCCAAUUUUCCUAUCACCCGUUGGAAUCUCUGGUCAAGAAACUGCAAAUAUUAAUAUUUCACUGGGAUGUUUGGUGGGAAGUAGGGAGGGAAAUGUCCAUACCAAAAGCUUCCAAGUGAAAUGUUCUGGCUGACACCUCCAAGAGAAAGUGAAAGCUAGAAUGGCAGAAGCCAUUGGUGGAGAAGGAACAUGCAGGCAGGAGAAGUCCCUGGAACCUGGAUGGAAAGAAAGUCGGAAUAGACUUCUUCAUGGGCUGCAGAAAGAAAAAGUCUUGGCUGUGAUGAGAGGACUGUUUCCAGCAGGCAAAUUUCAGCAGCUUAAUCUCAGUCACAAAGGAGAUCUUAUCCAUGAGACAGGAGCUCAGGUGCCACAGAGAAAUCUGUCUGGGGAGUCUGCAGGCGGCCCACGUGUGCCAGUGAUGAAGACAGAUUCCACUGGAGCCACUGAGCACCAUCUUAGCACCCUGCAGGGCCAAGAAGCCACACCAGCCCCAGGGAAGAGAUAAUUUGCAAGGCAGCUACUGGCACGCACCAUUCUCCUCACUUCCUUCCCAGCCUUUUUAUCUUCUCCAAUGUGCUGGAAAAAGAGAUUUUGAUGGAAACUAGAAUACCCAUGAAGAGUAAGGUUGAGGUCAUGGAAGAUGAAGAUUAAGAGUGAAGAAAAAGAGCAAGUGGAGGAACAAACACAAAAUUAAAUAAAUCACAGAAAUGCUUGACACUUCAGGUUGAAGAUGCUCUCAGUGUAUCAGGUUGUGUUUUGUUUUGUCUUUUUACCUUAGAAAAUGAGAAGACACACCUAUAUUUAUCCCAGUGAAAUUUCAGAUUUUCAAAGAUAAAGGAAAAUUCCCAAAGGACAUAGACAGUAAAACCAGGUUAACUAUAGGAUUUGUCUCCAGGCUUCUCUGCAAUAUAAUCAUGCCAAAGAUCAUGGAAUAAGAUCCACAGAGUUUAGAGGGGAAAGGAUGUGGCUCAUGACUUGUAAACCAGGACAAUUUAUCAUCAUAGCAUCAGAAAAUGACAAACGUAGUUUGAGAUAGGCAAGUAUUCCAAGAGCAAAUUAUCCAUGUUACAGUAAAAAUAUCCAGGAAGAAAGUGAAAGAGGUAAACAAUAGUGAUACCAAUGAAACAAAGUAUCCCAGUGAAUAAUUGCUGUUUCUGUGGUUAUGAGAUACACUUAAAAUGUCCAAAUGGUUUUUAAAGAGAAAUUGCAGAGUAAAAAACCUACUUGUAAUAUUCUGGUUUUAAAAUCUGAGAUAAUUCUAAUGUAAUCUGGGAGAUAGAGAAAAAAGAGGAAACUUUUAAAAGCAAGCUGAAUUCCUCAUCUUAUUUGAGGCAUUGAGGUUUUAUUGUUAUAACAGAGAAAUAAAGGCUUACAUGCUUUUAAUG